rnacentral:misc_RNA from 1 species
GAUGAAGAACGUAGCGAAAUGCGAUAAGUAAUGUGAAUUGCAGCAUUCAGUGAAUCAUCGAAUCUUUGAACGCACAUUGCGCCCGCCAGUAUUCUGGCGAGCAUGCCUGUUCGAGCGUCAUUUCAACCAUCAAGCCCCAGGCUUGUGUUGGAGCCCUGCGGCUGCCGCAGCCUCCCAAAACCAGUGGCGGGCUCGCUAUCACACCGAGUGCAGUAGUUUACUCUUCGCUCAGGGCGUGUGGCGGGUGCUAGCCGUGAAACCCCCAACUUCUCAAGGUUGACCUCGGAUCAGGUAGGAAUACCCGCUGAACUUAAGCAUAUCAAUAGCGGAGGA